GCGGGCGGUGAGCUCAGAGCUGCGACUUUGGGAUGGGCAUUGCCCUCCGGGCCGACCCCGAGUAGCUUGCCCGGAGCAGUCGCUAGCAAAAACAGCCUUGCCAAAGCUCGGCGACGCCUCUCUCCUGUCUCCGCUACCAGAAAGAACGAGUGCACCUCAUUUAAAAAAAAAACAACAAAACACCAAAACCCAAACUCGGUCACCUGGCGUGUUCAGCAUGGAGAAGAAUGAGGGCAAGCCUCAUCGCAGGCUACAGCUUCCUCGGGAGGGGCAGCGGAGGGGUAGCUCCGAUCUCUGUUCUCUGCGACCGGUGACAGGACCCGAGGGAACGGCUGCAGGAAUCUCCACUGAAUUCAGCGCUUCAUUCCAGAUGUGGCCGAGGGAUGGAAACCUCAUGCAAAGUGCAAGGCUGACACCUGGAGGGGCUGCGAGAGGCAGACGGGGAGCCCGGAGCAGCCACAGAUCCUGCAACACAGCUGGCCUUCUGACUCCCAAAAUAUCACUGAUGCUCAGCUCAUCCUGAUGAACCUACUAAACCACUGAAAACAUUCUCCACCCAGACGAGCCUAAAGGAUAUUUUCUGGACUCUUGUUCCUGCAAAGCAGCUUGGCACCAGUAUGGGGAAGUGUCC